AUUUGAUCUGAAAUCAGGCGGGAU
rnacentral:rRNA from 1 species